GGAAUAGUGUUGGAUGAUCAUAUUCUUUGAUAAGACGCAGUUUACAAUGAAGUCUUCGAUCAAAUUGGUAUUUUUAUUGUCUUUCAUAAUUAUUGCCUCAGAUUUGAGUAUGAAAUCUGAAGCACAACACCCAACUCCUGGACGAGGUUGUAGGAAAAACUCAGAUUGUAAACAUUUUUGUCCAACUUGUCCUAAAUGCACUUGUGCUGAUGGCAUGUGUUUGUGCAAUCCACCUGUAUCCGAUAAUAUUUAUGAUGGUGCUCCCCCUAUAUAUUGAGUACCCCAAUAAUGCAGAUCAAGAAUGAUAAAGGAUUCAUUUGAAAAA